GGGUUGACGGUACCCUACUAGAAAGGAGCCGCUAACUUCGUGCCAGAAGCGUCGGUAAUACGGGGGCUCCAAGCGUUAUCCGGUGUUAUUGGGCGUAAAGAGUCGUGUAGGUGGUUGGGUAAGUUAUCUUUCAAAUAUCUUUGCUUAACAAAGAGGAGGGGGAUAAUACUGCUCGACUAGAAUUUUCUCAAGGGAGAUCGGAACUGAGGGAGGAGUAGUGAAAUGCGUUGAUACCCUCGGGAACACCAGUGGCGUAGGCGGAUCUCUGGGAGAAGAUUGACACUGAGACACGAAAGCUAGGGGAGCGAAGCAGAUUAGAGACCUGCGUAGUCCUAGCCGUAAACGCAUGCUUGCUAGCUGCAUGAAUCUACCUUCGGGUGGUAUCGUGUGGCGAAGGUAACCCGUUAAGCAAGCCGCCUGGAAAGUACGGCCGCAAGGCUGAAAUUCAAAGGAAUUGGCGGGGAGGCACACAACCAGUGGAACAUGUGGUUUAAUUCGAGACUAACCGAAG
rnacentral:rRNA from 1 species